rnacentral:rRNA from 1 species
AUUGAACGCUGGCGGCAAGCCUAACACAUGCAAGUCGAACGAGUGGCGGACGGGUGAAUAAUGUCUGGGAAACUGCCUGAUGGAGGGGGAUAACUACUGGAAACGGUAGCUAAUACCGCAAACCAGCGGCUGUGCCCAGAUGGGAUUAGCGAGUAGGUGGGGUAAAGGCUCACCUAGGCGACGCGCCCUAGCUGGUCUGAGAGGAUGACCAGCCAAACUGGAACUGAGACACGGUCCAGACUCCUAAGGGAGGCAGCAGUGGGGAAUAUUGCACAAUGGGCGCAAGCCUGAUGCAGCCAUGCCGCGUGUAUGAAGAAGGCCUUCGGGUUGUAAAGUACUUUCAGCGGGGAGGCGUUACCCGCAGAAGAAGCACCGGCUAACUCCGUGCCAGCCGCCGCGGUAAUUC